GGGACAUCAGUUGCAGCCUAAAGCAGACGACAUCACCUACACCGUCUGACCCGUCUGUUCAUCAGCCAAACUACCUAAAGUACAAGUGACCGGUAGAUUGAAGAAAAGAAAAUCAUCUAAGUUAUCUAACUUUAUAGCCGUCAUUUGCAGGACAGUCAUGCAGGUUUUAAGCCUGGCUGUGCUCCUGCUCCAGCUACACCCUGUUCUCCUGAGAGACACACACCAUGGUGUGGGAUUUGAAGCUGAGGGCAACACUCACCUGAAGAGGAUGGUAGCAGAAGUUACUGACCCUAAAGUCAAGUUUGCAAAGGAUUUAGAGUUUGUUUAAAAAAAGCUAAAUGCAAACAAGGACAAGAAGGUGUUUAGUAACUGGCAAGACAUCUAUGAGUUCUACAGAAAUGUUGAUAUACAGACAGAAUCGGAAAAUUUGAUUAACUCAAAAAAAUUAAUACGUGACCCAAACGUUAAGACAAACUUUGAUGGGUUAAAGAACACCUUAGAGAAAGACAAAAACCAGUACGCCUUUAUCUAUGUAAUGAAAAGACUAGACAACCAUAUAGCCAAGCCAGAGAUUGUUAGCUAUUAUUCUGAGGUCAAACAACCCAAAGUUAUAAAUAAACAUACUGAGGAAGCAAUCUGUGAAAAAAUUAUAAAUAAUGACAUAAAAGUCAACCCACAGGAGGACGAUGUGUACUGGUUCACAAAGAAUACUCCUUGUCUAACUCCAACUUGUUAUAAAGUUGAAUCUAAAUCAUGCUUACUUUCCAUCCUUGAACUCUGUAAGAAAUGGUUCAAACAUGAGAAAUCAGAGACAAAAGGGCGAUGUUACAUUGGAUUUGAUCAAUAUUGGGGGUUUAGUGGAAGACCAUUAGUACUAAAAGAUUAUGAUAAAACAUUAAAAGAAGAAGAGAUGGAAAUCAGGCCCAACAUUUUUAUGUACACGCUUAACGAUGACAAAUUUCUGGAGGAUUUUGUGGACUUUUACGAUUAUGCUAGUUUUAUUUUCCUUGGGUAAAGUGAAUGACAAUCUGACAAUUAAAUACAUGAUGUACUGUGUAUAUUUUGUCAAAUGACUAUAUCGCCAAUGCUUACUAGAUUAGGCUACUGACAAGUUUCAAAACAACUCCUUUUAUACCUACUCUUAAAGUAUCAGUAAUGCAUAAUUUGAAAGAAGUAUACAUAAGUAAAUGAAGCAUAUCAUGGGUAAGCCACAAAUCAAACACCAUAAAAAAAAAAAAGAAAUUGUAGGAAUUUGUUUUAAAUGUUAGCAUGUUUCCAUAAAGCGUCUGCAAUAUGAAAUGAUUAGGCCUACCUUAUAUUAUAUAUUAUAUUGAAUAGUUUUGUAAAUAAACAAAAUGAAUAAAGUAAUAAACAGCAUGCAUAUGUUCACAUACUGUUCACAGUUGGUGAUAUCAGGAUGCAUCAUUAUCUUUAUGUAUACCGCUUUCAAACAUUAGUACCAACAUUUCUAAAUCACGUUUUUCCAACAUGGUUCCAGCACUGAUGUGAAAUACUUAUAAACGCUGUACUAUAAAUGGCUAAAAUCUGCUGAAUAAAUACUGUGUGCUUCUCUCA